GACGAACGCUGGCGGCGUGCUUAACACAUGCAAGACGAACGAUGAAGCUAGAGCUUGCUCUGGUGGAUUAGUGGCGAACGGGUGAGUAACACGUGAGUAACCUGCCCCGAACUCUGGGAUAACUGCUGGAAACGGUAGCUAAUACCGGAUAUGACCAAUGAAGGCAUCUUCUGUUGGUGGAAAGAAUUUCGGUUCGGGAUGGACCCGCGGCGCAUUAGCUAGUUGGUGAGGUAACGGCUCACCAAGGCGACGAUGCGUAGCCGACCUGAGAGGGUGAUCGGCCACAUUGGGACUGAGACACGGUCCAGACUCCUACGGGAGGCAGCAGUGGGGAAUAUUGCACAAUGGGCGAAAGCCUGAUACAGCAACGCCGCGUGAGUGAUGAAGGCCUUCGGGUUGUAAAGCUCUGUCUUUUGGGACGAUAAUGACGGUACCAAAGGAGGAAGCCACGGCUAACUACGUGCCAGCCGCCGCCGUAA
rnacentral:rRNA from 1 species